rnacentral:rRNA from 1 species
UCGCGAGACAGUUUGGUCCCUAUCUGCCGUGGGCGUCGAAAUUUGAGAGGAGUUGACCCUAGUACGAGAGGACCGGGUUGAACAUACCUCUGGUGUACCAGUCGUUCCGCCAGGAGCGCAGCUGGGUAGCUAUGUAUGGACGGGAUAACCGCUGAAAGCAUCUAAGCGGGAAGCCUCCCUCAAGAUAAGAUUUCAUCGAGCCGUAGUAGACCACUACGUUGAUAGGCCGGAUGUGGAAGCGCGGUAACGCGUGAAGCUAACCGGUCCUAAUUGCUCUGUUCGCGCUUAAACG